AUUGAACGCUGGCGGCAGGCCUAACACAUGCAAGUCGAGCGGAUGAAGGGAGCUUGCUCCUGGAUUCAGCGGCGGACGGGUGAGUAAUGCCUAGGAAUCUGCCUGGUAGUGGGGGAUAACGUCCGGAAACGGGCGCUAAUACCGCAUACGUCCUGAGGGAGAAAGUGGGGGAUCUUCGGACCUCACGCUAUCAGAUGAGCCUAGGUCGGAUUAGCUAGUUGAUGGGGUAAAGGCCUACCAAGGCGACGAUCCGUAACUGGUCUGAGAGGAUGAUCAGUCACACUGGAACUGAGACACGGUCCAGACUCCUAAGGGAGGCAGCAGUGGGGAAUAUGGGACAAUGGGCGAAAGCCUGAUCCAGCCAUGCCGCGUGUGUGAAGAAGGUCUUCGGAUUGUAAAGCACUUUAAGUUGGGAGGAAGGGCAGUAAGUUAAUACCUUGCUGUUUUGACGUUACCAACAGAAUAAGCACCGGCUAACUUCGUG
rnacentral:rRNA from 1 species